GUGGCCCAGCUGGCUCUGUUUGUCAGUGACCCAGACAAGGACAUCAGCUGGCAGGCCAGGGAGGGGACUUACCGGCUGUACCAGCUGCUGCUCCAACAGAGGAGUAAGAAACCCGCUGGCACACGGAACCCAAUAGGGGACUGAGAGUGACCACAGGUGGAUAAUGGAACCCCAGACAAUUUCUCUCAGCCUGACCCCAGCUGGAGGACAAGUCUCUCUCUGCCUAUGUUCUUCUCCACUCCACUGUGAAGCCACCAAUGGGAUUGGAAGGACACAGAAAUUGCAACCAGAAGGAUCAUAAGUGUCUCUCUCUCUCUCUCUUUUUCUUCUAGGGCUGACCAUACACAAGGCAGAAGAUCUGUGGUGCCACGACUGGCCCCGGGACAGCAGGCUUCUGGGCUAUAAGAACACAGUCAGGGUGGGGGAGGUCUUUGGAAAAUUCUUUUCUGAGGGGCAGAGAAAAUUCUUCCUCCAGACAGCAAUGCUGGCGAUCCAUGACCCCCUGCUCCGUGUCAGCCAGGCUGGGCUGCUCCUCACAUACUCCAUCCUGGGGGAAGCCCAGCAGCGGAUGGGGGACAAGCUGGAGGAUGUCACAGCCAAGGUGAUGUGUCAGCUGCGCAUCAUCCGGCACUUGCACCAGGUGCCCAGGCGCUGCAAGGGCUGCUCCUCAUCUGAUGCCCUUAAAGGUUCCCCUCCCAUGUUCAGCAACUCCCACUCCCUGCUGCAGGUACUCCUCAGUCUCACUGUAAAUGGGGGGCUAGUGGAAGAGGAAAUGGAGGCCCCUGUCACUGACAGAAACUCUCUCCCCUCUCUGUGGACCAGGGUCCUUCCCUCUGACCCCAAACUUCCUUCAUCUGGGGCAGGAGCUCUUCCCCUCACUCCCAUACCCCUCCCCUCUUUCCUUGCUCUGACCCCCAUCCCAUUCCCCAUGCUCCCACGCAGAGCUCUCCCUGCCCCAUAUGGCGCAGAAGGACCUUUGUGUCAGGGCUACAGACUGCCUGCCCAACUGAAGCUCAGGAAGCUCCACAUUUGAGGAGGUGAGGAUGGGACAGAGGCUCAGGGCCUGCUUCACCUCCUGCCCUUUAUUCUUCCUUUGGCCCUUCUAUGGGCUCUCAGAGGGUGACAUGAAUAGGAACCUCCCCCCCACUUGCCUUCUAGGCCCUGGGGUGUGUGACAGCCUCCCAGAU